CCAAUUUUGUUUGGUUUUCAUAGGUUUUCUUUUAUUUUGAAAAGGUACGCAGUCUCUGGCAGACAUGAUCCAUGUGACCGUCAACAGCCAAUCGGGUUGUUGCAGAUUUGAGAGCUUUGAUGUACGUUAGCGGUGCGUCUAUUGAGCAAGUUUCCCAAACGAGGGUGAAGACGUGACGAGAGAUUGUUGUAGUUCAAAAUAUUUUCAGUAUUUAUUCACCUUAACACAGCGGUGGAGUUAGUUUUUCCUUUUCAACCUGUCUUGCCUGGAAGAAGAAAAAGAGGAAACAAUUUACCGAACGGGACUUGGUGAGUGAGUGUUAUUUUAUUUUCAUUCAUCUGAUAUUUAACAAUGUAUAAUUUACAUGUCUUGAAAUGGCAGACUUUGGCAUGGAAUUUUUGUUGUUUUAUGUCAUAUCAAGUUCGUAGAAGUUUUGGCGCGUUAAGUGUAGGCUUCGCCCGGACAUUCCACCCCCCAUUACGUGCUGCGUAGCUUCAAAUAGUUAGGCAAAACAAAUAGAAAGAAACAACCUUAUUUUUUAUUAUUUGUACGGAUUAUGUGUUAAUUUAACGCGCUUAUUUGAGUGUAUUUUGUGUUUGGAUGAUAGGCCAUCAAGGUUGGACCGAAGAAAACUGUUUCUUUUCCGAGAUCCCCGUGUGCAGGAAGAAACAAGAUGGCGACCGAACUCUGAACCUGUUAAGUUGUCUGAAGGACCAAGCGCCCUCUGCUGGACAUUGGACAACCCUUUUCUAUUCAGAACUGACAAACCAUAGUGAUGUCCUGUCCACCGGUUAUUGAGCUCCUGGACCUGUGGCCUGCUCUGAAAAUAGAGUCGGAGGUAAUCUGGAUCAGCUCCCUUAUUAAAAUGAAAAUUAUUACUCUUACUCAUUUGGCAUCCAUGUGCUGCAUUAUAAAUUUGUUUGAGAUUGUUUUAUUUUUAAUUGAGCUCUCUUGUUGCAUUUUCUUUCUCCUGCUGUUAUUUUUAUUCAGGUGUAUGCAGAGUUUCAGCGGAUUACAAAUCAGAACCUGCCCAACACUUUUUAUGCUGAACUUGACGGUCAUCUUCCUCAACUUAUGACCAUAUUCAGACAAAAGGCAUCAAAAACUGGGGAGACUGCAGAUUCUCUGGCAGAAAUUUUAAAAAAUCACGAUAAACAGGCACAUCAAUUAUUUGACAUCUCGAGUUUAUCCAAGUAGUGAUGAUUUUUUUACUGUUUUGUUUUAGUUUUUUUUUCUUAUUUUUGGCAAUUGGCUUUUUUUUCUACCCCUAGUAUUGCAUUUUGUCCAUUUUAUAUUUGCCUUAUGUCUGAUUGCAUGAAUAUGUAUAUGAAGUGUGUUUUUUCUUAUUUUAAAUCAUCUAUGGAUUGACUUCUGCAUCUGUACCUUUUUGUUUUUUAAUCUAAAUAGGAAAUCCAUGACAUUCACACCAAGCGCACUACUGUUCUUCACGCCCUGCCUGUUUAUCUGCACGAGGAUGUCUCUGGAGUUUUUAAAACUUGCACAGUCGAGUUUGAUGAGCCGGAGCUUGAUGGUGUCGCAGUGGGGCUUCUUACUGUCAUCAAAGACCAUGACUCAAGUCCAGUGCACUACGAGCCUGUCAAAAUCUCUGUUGUGAUGGAAAGUGAUGAAGUGGUCAGCCUCCCCAGAUUCAGUGAUGCCUUCGUGGUAAUGUUUGGACUCAUCUAUGCAAUGCACCUCAAAUAUCCCAAACCACUGACCAACACGUUUGAAUUCACUCAAAAGAUUUUACUUGGUCUAGAAGCUGGUAAACUACCACCCAGGUUGCAGACCCUUAAAAAUGAUUUGAUGAUACUUGUGUAAAACUAAGUUGAAAUAAGAAAGAAAUAUUGCACCACACUGCAUUUUAAUGCAAAAGGAACGCAGAUGUUUGGCUUGUUUUUAGGUUUCUUUUAAUAUUUUUUUGUUACACAAUUGUGGGUUUUGGUGCCGUUUGAAUGUGGCGAAUGUAAAACAGUUAUGUUGAAGAAAAGUACUCAGUUACAUUAUUGGUGUAAUUUCUUCAUUAUUUUGGAUUCUUUAUUUUUCUGAUCACCUGAUGUGUGAGAAGCGUAGAAAGUAGCCAGUAACUAGUAUUGAUACUAAAUUCAGGGAAGCUGGAGGGUUUCAUCUUUAAAAUGUCGCAAUACAAAAAAUGAAGGUGGUAAAGUAUGUUCUUCUUGUACUACAAUUUCAAUAUAUAUAAAAACAUUUAUUUUAUUUUUUAUUGAUUUAAAAUUUAUCAAAGUGUAUGAUUUUUUGUUUUUACCAUUGCACAGAAGGGAGUGAGCCAAUAAGUUAGACAGAUCUUUAUGACAUUGUGCUGUAUUUAAGUUACUGUUACUCAUUUUUUUUUAGGCAAUCAUACAAAAUUUAAGUUUUGAAUUUUGUGGUUUUGAGUUUACUGACUCAAAAAAUUUAAUUAUCCCUGUACUUGAUGGUAACUAAUAAAAUUAAGUCCUGUACAAAUAAAAUUGUGGUGUUGUGUAAUUA